GAGUUUGAUCGUGGCUCAGAUUGAACGCUGGCGGCAUGCCUUACACAUGCAAGUCGAACGGCAGCACGGGAGCUUGCUCCUGGUGGCGAGUGGCGAACGGGUGAGUAAUGCAUCGGAACGUAUCCUGGAGUGGGGGAUAACGUAGCGAAAGUUACGCUAAUACCGCAUAUUCUGUGAGCAGGAAAGCGGGGGGACCUUCGGGCCUCGCGCUCUUGGAGCGGCCGAUGUCGGAUUAGCUAGUUGGUGAGGUAAAGGCUCACCAAGGCGACGAUCCGUAGCAGGUCUGAGAGGAUGAUCUGCCACACUGGAACUGAGACACGGUCCAGACUCCUACGGGAGGCAGCAGUGGGGAAUUUUGGACAAUGGGGGGCAACCCUGAUCCAGCCAUGCCGCGUGAGUGAAGAAGGCCUUC
rnacentral:rRNA from 1 species